rnacentral:rRNA from 1 species
GCGUAUAUUUAAGUUGUUGCAGUUAAAAAGCUCGUAGUUGGAUUUCGGGCGGGGCCUGCCGGUCCGCCUCUGGUGUGCACUGGCAUGGGCUCGCCUCGCUGUCGGGGACGGGCUCCUGGGCUUAACUGUCCGGGACUCGGAGUCGACGAGGUUACUUUGAGUAAAUUAGAGUGUUCAAAGCAGGCCUACGCUCUGAAUACGUUAGCAUGGAAUAACACGAUAGGACUCUGGCCUAUCUUGUUGGUCUGUGGGACCGGAGUAAUGAUUAAGAGGGACGGUCGGGGGCAUUCGUAUUUCAUUGUCAGAGGUGAAAUUCUUGGAUUUAUGAAAGACGAACUUCUGCGAAAGCAUUUGCCAAGGAUGUUUUCAUUAAUCAAGAACGAAAGUUGGGGGCUCGAAGACGAUUAGAUACCGUC